CGUGGAUAACCUGCCUCACACAGGGGGAUAACAGUUAGAAAUGACUGCUAAUACCGCAUAAGCGCACGGCAUCGCAUGAUGCAGUGUGAAAAACUCCGGUGGUGUGAGAUGGAUCCGCGUCUGAUUAGGUAGUUGGUGGGGUAACGGCCUACCAAGCCGACGAUCAGUAGCCGACCUGAGAGGGUGACCGGCCACAUUGGGACUGAGACACGGCCCAG
rnacentral:rRNA from 1 species